rnacentral:rRNA from 1 species
CACGUAGGGCGCAAGCGUUGUCCGGAAUUAUUGGGCGUAAAGAGCUCGUAGGCGGCUUGUCACGUCGGAUGUGAAAGCCCGGGGCUUAACCCCGGGUCUGCAUUCGAUACGGGCUAGCUAGAGUGUGGUAGGGGAGAUCGGAAUUCCUGGUGUAGCGGUGAAAUGCGCAGAUAUCAGGAGGAACACCGGUGGCGAAGGCGGAUCUCUGGGCCAUUACUGACGCUGAGGAGCGACAGCGUGGGGAGCGAACAGG